UACAGGGGGUGCAAACGUUGCUCGGAAUCAUUGGGCGUAAAGCGCACGUAGGCGGUCUGUUGCGUCGGCUGUGAAAACCCGGGGCUCAACUCCGGGCCUGCAGCCGAUACGGGCAGACUAGAGGUAGGUAGGGGAGAAUGGAAUUCCCGGUGUAGCGGUGAAAUGCGCAGAUAUCGGGAGGAACACCGGUGGCGAAGGCGGUUCUCUGGGCCUUACCUGACGCUGAGGAGCGAAAGCGUGGGGAGCGAACAGG
rnacentral:rRNA from 1 species